GGAUGACGUCUGCUUCAGUGUCUCUCUGUGGGGUGUUUAGUGAGGACGGCCGCCGCGUUGAUGCACAGAGACUUGCUCCGGGCGUGUUCGAUAAGGAUACCCGAGACCUCUUAGGCUGUGGGGAUUGCUGUGGCCUUCCCCGCCUCCCAGCCCCUCGCCUUGUCAGUCCCCGUGGCAGGUCGAGGUACGCCGAUUAGAGACUUCGACACCUGAGUUAUCAUCGGCCAAGGUAAGGGUGGAGUGCAGUGAGUAAAAACAUCAUCAAGCCGUAAGCGUGAAAAGCAGUGAAGAACAACAUUAUAGUGUGAGUGUUCCCCUUGUGUGUGUGUGUGUGUGUGUGUGUGUGUGUGUGUGUGCGCGAGCGAGUAUGAGGGUGGAAGAUGAUCGUUGUUAAUGAGGAUGGAGAUGAAAAAAAAGUUGAAUUAUUAAGAAAAGGGAACAGGAGGAGGAGGAGGAGGAGGAGGAGGUAUUAGUUAGGUAAAAGUUUGUAGCAUAUUAGUGAUAAAUAUUCUCAAGGUAAGGAGGGUAGAUUCUUAUUGGAGCUUUUAACGUAUUUUUGAAGCGCCAAGUUGAAGGUUAUGAGUAGCGUUAGCAGGAAAUAUAUAAUGGUGAAAGAAGGAAGAGGAGAAAGAGCAUGAAGGAGAUGGAUUAGAGGAAAGUGGAAGCAAGAAAUAGAUAAGGAAGGAAGAAGAGAAAAGGUUGAAGAAGGAAGAGGAAGAAAUGCAUGAAGAAGAUAAUCGGGUUGGCAGGAAAAAAAACACGGUUAAAGAAGGAAGAGAAGGUGGAAAAGAAGAUGGAAAAGAGAAAAAGUUGAAGAAGAAAAAAUAUUAAAGAAGGAAGAGGAAAAAAGGCAUGAAGAAGGUAAUAGCGUUAGCAGGGGAAAAAAAAAGCGGUUAAAGAAGGAAGAGAAGGAGGAGUAUGAAGAAGAUGGGAAAGAGAAAAAGUGGAGGAAGAAAAAAUAUUAAAGAAGGUUGAGGAAGCAAGGUUAAAGAAGGAAGAGGAGGGAGAACAUGAAAAAAGAUGGAGUAGAGGAGAAGUGGAAGAAAAAAUGAUUAAAGAAAGAAGAGGAGGAGAAAAGGUUAAAGAAGGAAGAGGAAGAAGACGGAGAAAAAGAGUGGAAGGAAAAAAAUGGUAAAAGAAGGAAUGAAAGAAUGAUCAAAUAAGGAAGAGCAGGAAGGCAUGAAGAAAAUGAAGAAGAGGAAAAGUGAAAAAAUAAAAUAAAAAAGGAAGACGAGGAAGAGCUUGAAGAAGAUGGAGAGGAGGAAAAAAGAGAGAAAAUGAGAAUUCAAAAGAGGACCAUAUAAGGAGGUGAAGGACGCAAGGAAGAGAGAGCGAUGAAGACGGAAGAGAAAAGAAGAAAAAGAGUAAAGCAUAAAGAAAAAUAUGGAAAUUAAAAAGAGAAAGAAGAAAAAGGAGAAAAGUAAAAACACACAAACGGAGAAUUAAGAGAAAAUCGCAGUGGAGUGCAAUACAGACAGAGAAAACGUAGGAGAAAAGGGAAAUAAGUGAUAUAAAAAACUAAGAUAGAAGAAGGAGAAGGAAAAAACAGUGGAAAUAAAUGAAAGACGGUUAAACAGAAAGAGAAAAGGCGAAAAAGUAAACAAAA